GUGGGGAAUAUUGGACAAUGGGGGGAACCCUGAUCCAGCCAUGCCGCGUGUGUGAAGAAGGCCUUUUGGUUGUAAAGCACUUUAAGCGAGGAGGAGGCUACCGAGAUUAAUACUCUUGGAUAGUGGACGUUACUCGCAGAAUAAGCACCGGCUAACUCUGUGCCAGCAGCCGCGGUAAUACAGAGGGUGCAAGCGUUAAUCGGAUUUACUGGGCGUAAAGCGCGCGUAGGUGGCCAAUUAAGUCAAAUGUGAAAUCCCCGAACUUAACUUGGGAAUUGCAUUCGAUACUGGUUGGCUAGAGUAUGGGAGAGGAUGGUAGAAUUCCAGGUGUAGCGGUGAAAUGCGUAGAGAUCUGGAGGAAUACCGAUGGCGAAGGCAGCCAUCUGGCCUAAUACUGACACUGAGGUGCGAAAGCAUGGGGAGCAAACAGGAUUAGAAACCCGUGUAGUCC
rnacentral:rRNA from 1 species